UACGUAGGGGGCUAGCGUUGUCCGGAUUUACUGGGCGUAAAGAGCGCGCAGGCGGUCGUUCAAGUCGCGUGUGAAAGCCCCCGGCUCAACUGGGGAGGGUCACGCGAUACUGAUCGACUGGAAGGCAGGAGAGGGUAGUGGAAUUCCCGGUGUAGUGGUGAAAUGCGUAGAUAUCGGGAGGAACACCAGUGGCGAAGGCGACUACCUGGCCUGUUCUUGACGCUGAGGCGCGAAAGCUAGGGGAGCAAACGGG
rnacentral:rRNA from 1 species